rnacentral:rRNA from 1 species
GAUGAACGCUGGCGGCGUGCCUAAUACAUGCCAGUCGAGCGAACAGAUGAGGAGCUUGCUCCUCUGACGUUAGCGGCGGACGGGUGAGUAACACGUGGAUAACCUACCUAUAAGACUGGGAUAACUUCGGGAAACCGGAGCUAAUACCGGAUAAUAUAUUGAACCGCAUGGUUCAAUAGUGAAAGACGGUUUUGCUGUCACUUAUAGAUGGAUCCGCGCCGCAUUAGCUAGUUGGUAAGGUAACGGCUUACCAAGGCAACGAUGCGGAGCCGACCUGGGGGGGGGAUGGGCAACUGAGGAAGUGAGAACCGGUACAGACCCCGAGGGGAGGCAGAAGUGGGGAAUUUUCCGAAAAGGGGGAAAGCUUGACGGAGCAACGCCGGGUGGGUGAUGAAGGUUUUGGGGACGUAAAACGCUUUUAUGGGGGAAAAAAAAAUGGGUAAGUAACUAAGCACGUUUGACCGUUACUUAAGAAGAAAGCCCGGGCAAAAUCCGG